rnacentral:lncRNA from 1 species
GGAAGUGUAGAAGACAAAGGUUAAACCAAAAGAAAAUCGUUUAAAAAGCAGAGACCAACGAGAUUUAGGCAAAAAAUUAAGGUUUGCAAAAUAAAUUAGGGAAAUGAGAAAAUUGGCCGUGAAACUUGUAUAUAAUGCCAUAGAAGGCAUCAUCGGACAAAUGCUACUAGAGAACAGCCGGAAACAGACCCAAAUGAAGCUUCAGUGACCGUCUUUCAUGGCGAAAGCUGCUGGGCUUCAAGCUUUAAAGAGAAAACAAAGAUACAAGGAUUCCAUGGCUACUAGAGGUCGAGAGAAAUGAGGGAGAAGUAGGGUCGGAGAGGCGAUGGACUUCAUCAGAGAAGAAGGAACCAGAAGGUUCUAGAGAGAAGGGAGAGCACUUGUUAGAGAGAUAGAGAGACUGGC